rnacentral:lncRNA from 1 species
ACGAGGUCAGGAGUUCGAGACCAGCCUGGCCAACAUGGUGAAACCCCGUCUCUACUAAAAAUACAAAAAUUAGCUGGGCGUGGUGGCUUGGGCCUGUAGUCCCAGCUACUCAGGAGGCAGAGGUUGCAGUGAGUCAAGAUCAAGCCACUGCACUCCAGCCUGGGCGACAGAGUGAGACUGUCUCAAAAAAACAAACAAAAAUACAAAAGUUAACUGGGUGUGAUGGCACGUGCCUGUAGUCUCAGCUGCUCAGGAGUCUGAGGCAGAGGUUGUAGUGAGCUGAGACUGCGCGCCACUGCACUCCAGCCUGGGAGACAGUGAGACUCAGUCUCAAAAAAAAAAAAUUAUAUGAAUGUAAUGGGUUCAUCAUUUUAAAAUGAAGUAUCUUCAAAAUUUGUUUCAAGUUCUCAUGGAAUCGAUAUUGAUAAAUAUAUCUUGGUAUUC